rnacentral:rRNA from 1 species
UACGUAGGUGGCAAGCGUUAUCCGGAUUUAUUGGGUGUAAAGGGCGUGUAGGCGGGAAUGCAAGUCAGAUGUGAAAACUAUGGGCUCAACCCAUAGCCUGCAUUUGAAACUGUAUUUCUUGAGUGCUGGAGAGGCAAUCGGAAUUCCGUGUGUAGCGGUGAAAUGCGUAGAUAUAUGGAAGAACACCAGUGGCGAAAGCGGCUCUCUGGUCUGUAACUGACGCUGAGGUUCGAAAGCGUGGGUAGCAAACAGG